AUCACUUCUCAGCCUUUUGGCUAAGACCAAGUGUAGUAUCUGUUCUUAUCAGUUUAAUAAAUGUAAACCUAGAUAAAUGAUUAUUAAACCUAGAUAAAUGUAAAGUUAGGAUGUAUGUCAACUUCA
rnacentral:snRNA from 1 species